rnacentral:rRNA from 1 species
GACCAACCCUUAAAGACUGCUGCAUCUUUAGGAUAUUCUAGUCCAACAUCGAGGUCACAAACUUUCUUUUCGAUAAGGACUCUCAAAGAAAAUUAUGCUGUUAUCCCUAUGGUAACUAAUUCCAUUAAUCAGAAUUCCUGGAUCAAAACCUGUGGGUGUGAAAGUAAUAAAGAAGCUUUGUUUGUUCCUUAGUCGCCCCAACCAAAAUUUAAAGCGGAUUAAUAUUUAGGGUUAUAUAUUAUUUUCUGCUUGUUUCUUUAAAGCUCAAUAGGGUCUUCUUGUCUAUCAAUAGAAUUUAGGUUUCUUCACCUAAAAAUCAAGUUCUAGAAAUUUACAUAGAGACAGCUUUGCUCACGUCAAACCAUUCAUACUAGCCCUCAAUUAUAGGGCAAAUGAUUAUGCUACCUUUGCACGGUCAGAGUACCGCGGCCGUUGAAAACUUAAUUCACUGGGCAGGUCCGACUC